CCUGAAGAGUCGUUCGAGACCAGGACGUUGAUAGGUCGGGUGUGGAAGCGCUGUGAGGCGUUAAGCUAACCGAUACUAAUUGCUCGUGAGGCUUGAUCCU
rnacentral:rRNA from 1 species